UGGUGUCUACCUUACACGUAAGUUCUAUGGUGUAAUGGUGUUGGUACUGAGUCCACUAUUGUCGGAAUGUAAACAUCGCGUAUCCUGCAAUUAGAUUGGAUGAGAAGGACUUUGAAUUCAUUGGAGAGGGAGAGAUGAAGUUGGUGGGGUAGGUGUUGGUCCAUGAGACACGUGAAGUCUUCAUUCAUUUCUCAUGUAGGGACCCUUCUCUGGCCACUCUUGUAGGCCAUGAAAGAAGAAGACCAAAUGGGAGUGGCAGUUUUAGAGAUACAAAUGAGACACUGCUUCUUACAUAUCUGCUCAAGCAUGCACAAGCACAACUACCACUGCACUGUUUCUGCCAUGCUAUUGUGUCGAAUCUUUAGUACCAAGCUAUUGGACAAGUUUCCAUCGAUUCUCUUGUCUAUUCUUUGGGAGGGUGAUGCAGUACUAUACCAUAACUUUAUCCUUUUCAUGCAACUAGUGUCUUGGUCCAAGCACAAAUUUUGCAGCUUCAUAGAGUGCCACCUUUCCUCUGCUAUGGCCAAAUCACUUUUUCACUUCAUUGGAAUGGCAAAAAUGCUUUCGUGAUCUUCUGCUCAAAUGGGAUAUAUGUGGUCCUGCAAAAUCAUACCAAUGGGAUCCAUGUCUCUUGUUGUUCAGAAAGAAACCUAAAAGCAAUAGAUGAUAGUGUUGGUACGGAUUUCUCUUCCUCUCUUUCCUUCCUCCACAAGUCUCUCCAAGUGAAGCUGCAGUAAGAAUAUUCUAUUUAAUUUUCUGGAUUCUAUUCUAGGUGUAUUACAUUACUGAAUAC
rnacentral:lncRNA from 1 species